AUACUUACCUGGCAAGGGAAUUAUCGUGAUCAUGAAAGUGGUUUCCCAGGGUGGAACUUACCCACUGCGCUCCAGCUGCGCUGGCCCCUGCAAUUUCCCUACAUGUGGGAAACUCGACUACAUAAUUUAUAGUAGUGGGAGGCUGCAUUCUCAGUUUACCC
rnacentral:snRNA from 1 species